UGUGGCAAAUGUUAGGGGAGUAUCGGGCGACAGCGGCCCCACUUUAGGUCGUGUGGUCAGGCGUCUGCCGUAGGCAGCCCGAUCCUAGUAGGGGUCCUCGGCCGGCUGGACUAGAAGGCCAAGGGGGCGUCUCCCUGGCUUCCUGCGGCGUCUGUGGCGAGCUGAGGUGGAAGCAGGCUGCGGCAGCGAAGGCGACGGUGGUGUCGGCGGCGCCAUGGCAGGGCUCACAGGAUCCCUGCUGCCUUGGUGAUCCCGGGCUGACAGCCAGAGAGCACAGCGGCUCAGCUCCUGGAGAGCGAGGGUUGAAGAAAGCGGAGGGCAGCCGCCCGCGCCGGCUGGCUCCCAUUAGGUCGGUUCCUGCAGCGGUGCCCGGUGGCCUUGGCGAAGGCCCUGUCCAGCAGAGAUCAUGUAUUGCCUCCAGUGGCUGCUGCCUGUCCUCCUCAUCCCCAAGCCCCUCAACCCCGCCCUGUGGUUCAGCCACUCCAUGUUCAUGGGCUUCUACCUGCUCAGCUUCCUCCUGGAACGGAAGCCUUGCACAAUUUGUGCCUUGGUUUUCCUGGCAGCCCUGUUCCUCAUCUGCUAUAGCUGCUGGGGAAACUGCUUCCUGUACCACUGCUCCGAUUCCCCGCUUCCAGAAUCGGCGCACGACCCCGGCGUUGUGGGCACCUAACAGCCAGCCCAGUUAGCUUUCCAAGGAAGCAGAAGACGGGAGGGGAGGCAUUGACAUAGGUCAUAAAGCAUUGGAGUUUCAAAUCCCGCAGCCCCGCGGGUGCCACAUUCCUGACAACGCCUUUUUGGCCUGUGAUGUUUUAUCCUUAUAAUGUGAAUAAUGGCACUGACCGGUGCUUUUAUUGUAGAGUCCUGUAGUCGUGGGUGGUCUUGUGGUUGUGUGUGUUCUGUCCCCACCUUGGCCCCCAGCUGGCAGGAUGGCCACCUCCCUUGCCUCAUUCCUGCGAGGGGUCUGCACCCAUCCUGGUCAACUGCCCUAGCAUGACCCGGGCAAAUAAUAUGCCAGUAUCAUUGUCGCCUCUGUGACCCCUCCCUGUCAGGGGGUCCUCCCUUGUCAGAGUUACUGACUCCUCUGCCCCUCUCCUGGCUUCCUGUUAACUUCACUUCUAUCCCUUUCCUUUUUGGGGGAGCACCUGUCUAAGACAGGGCUCGUUUUUGCACUUAUCUCGAACUUAAAGAGAUUGCUGACGCCCGAGAGCCUCGCUUUUUCAUCCUUCUUCCCUGGCCAGCAGGCUAGACAGAAAUGUGUCUUGACCGCUGUCUACAAAUCUUCAGUAUUUUCUUCACUUCAUUUUUAAGAAAGAAGUAACAGAUACGUGUUGCUCUUUCACCUAGGGGCCUGGGCACCUCCUUGGCAGCCCAGCUUCACUUCCCUUGCCCUUCCUCCUGCCUCUCUCAGCCAUCGAGAGGAGUAGGGGGCCUCAUUCUGUCUCCCAUGCAUGCUCUGCAGGAUUGAAGUGUGAUGUGUUUACGUAGAUCUAGCAGUCCCCAGCUGAGUGAAUGGGAGAGUUCUUGUGUAUUUCAUAACAGCCAUGAUCCCCUCUAUAGGUGUUUGGGUAUUUUUUGGUGUGCUGUGCGUGCGUGUGUGUAUAUGUACGUGUAGAAGUACAUGUGUAUAUCCCUUUUAAAGAAGCUUUAUCGAACGUGUUCUGAUGUUGAGGUGUAGCAAUAGCUAGCUAUAUAGUAGGUGCCGCUACAGUUUUUAUUUAGCAUGGGGAUUGCAGAGUGACCAGCUCACUGGACUCCGAGGUGGUUCAGACAAGACAGAGGGGAGCAGUGGCCAUCAUCCUCAUGCCAGGAGCUUCUCCAGUCCUGCACUUAGAGACUGUACAUUCUGAAGAAUACACAGGAAGACUUUGUGACUGUCACUUGCUUUUUUUCUUUUUCUGCGCUUCAGUAAAAGUGUUGGCGAACGAGACUGUCUCCUGGCCCCUGCCCACUGGGGAUCAGCAUGAUUGUCCUUCAGUCUAAACCAUCCAUCUUCCUCUCGCCUGCAGGGCGGGGGAGGGAGGUGGGCCAGGCAGAGGGCAGAACUGGAGGCAGUCCAUCUAGGGAAUGGGACCGCAAGGCCACACUUGUGGAACAUUUGGACUGCUAUUCUGGAGCUUUUAUUUCUGGUGUGUUCGUUGCACAGCUGUUUGAAAUGUUUAAUAAAGCUUUAUAAACUUUACCCUGUGGUUUUAUGUGGCUGCAGUCCAUUUGGGUCGUGGUGUUGGAUUUCUAAGUUGGUGGGGGGCAAAGGGGUAGCAUGGAGGGGCUGAGUCCUUGGCGCCAGAGUACCUUAGCCCAAAAAUUUGAUCUGCUCUCUGGAGAGCAGAUGGUGGGAUUGGGGAGGGGGGGGAGCAGGGGGCAGGCCAGGCGUUGAACAGGAGGGAAGCUGAAAGUUUUCAGGGAUGAGACAUUUGUGUUUCUCAGCUCCCAUGGCUUCUCGCCUGAAACUGUUUCCCUCCGUAGGAGAUUUGAGUAACCGAUCCCUUGACAAACAACUUAAGACAGCUGGAGCUCUAAUCAUCAAGGAUUUUUAUGGUGCUGCUUUUGAAGUAAAAAUAAAGUGAAACCCCUUAUGGCAUUUCAAGUGGAAAAAUAAAUAAAGCUGUCCGUCCAGGCAGGGGGCUUUGGGCAAUGGCUGGAAGCUCGGGAGUGCGCGGUUCUGUGCCGUUGGUGCACACGUGCUCCCAUGGCUGUGACCUUGGGGACCAAGCCAGGGGGCUUGUCAGGGCCCUGUGCUGGUUGUCCACCUCUCGAUCUUUUUUCCUUUUAGAAAACAGAACAGGAGCACUGCCUGCCCAAGGCACAAGGCUGUUUGUGAGGGUUUAUUGAGAUAACAGUGGUGAAAGGGUGAUGGUCAUUUCACAGAAAGUCAUCCGUUUUACCUAGAUUGCUAAUUUAUUGCUGUAAAGUUUUGUGUAGUUUUUUCCUGCUCUUUUCAAUCUCUCCGUUGUCAGUUUAUCCCUUUCUUCAUUCCUACCAUUGCCUAUCAGUGUUUUCCCUUUUCUUGGUCAAAACUUGCCAAAGAUUUCUUCAUUUUAAAGGUAUUUUCUGAGAACCAAACUUUUAUUGAUUGUAUCUGCUGGGUAUUUUUCCUGUCUGGUGCUUUUGUGUUUUUAUUUCUGAAUUCUUUUUUCUGGGUUUCUGAAUAUAUUUCGUGGUUCAGCAAAGCCUCAACAAGCUGAGGAGUCGUGCAUGUGGAAAGGAUGGUUUGUUCUGCAAACAUUGAGCCCCUGUACUGGGCUUGUUGGGGAUUUCAGGGGCAAGACGCAGGCCUGGCUCUCCAGGAGUGCAUGGUUCUAGCCUAGUGGGAGGACUUAAGAAAAUAGACAACUGCAAAUUCCAAAAACAAACAAACAAAAAAGGCUUUUGUGGCCAUGCUCUCCCAUGGAGGCACCUGGAUGAUAAAUGAAGCCAAGAUUAUUGCUUAUUUUGCUCUCCCUCAGAAAGCAGCUUUCUGUCAUAGGUCAAGCUCACUAAAGAGUCACAAACAGGCCUCCCUCUGAAAGAUUUGUAUCCCUUUCCAGCAGGAAGCCUGCAGCCCACCCCCUCCCAAGGUGACUGCCAAAUCAGCAUUCUGCCUGCCCAGCAUUGCUUUCCACCUUGCCAAGGCAACACCGGCAGCACCCUGCCCCCUCUUCCUGAACCGCCUUUCAGGAAAAUGAGAAGUAGAUAGAUACCUUUUCUGCGGGGCACCAGGCCUUAGAAAACCAUGCCCUGCAAUUCUGCCGGUCACUGGCUCCUAGUGUGAAAAUGUUGCUCACGUGGUACCUGGUAACACAAGGUCCUGUGAGGCCUAGGUCUGGGCUUCUUUAGCAACUGGUCUGUGUCCUGCUCUGGGCCUCAGUUUCCUUAUAGCUAAAAUGUCUUUGGAGCAAACACAGUCUUCCUAGCCCUAAUAUACUGGGAAUCCUUUCUUCUGGGGUCUUUGGGACCUCCUGGAUGCACUUGAGGAAGGUGACUGAGCUCUGGGAAGGUCGCAGUGCCCUUGCAGGACAGCCUGCAUGUGCUUGAUGCUUUAGUCAUUGUGCCGUGUUUGCCCAGAUAUUCCUCUGUCAGGAAGCCUUCCUGGGCUUCUUCCCUCUCCCUAGAGAUCCACUUGUCUAGAUUACUUCACUUAGCCCUCUGUUGAGUGCUAUAGUGCAGACUGUCUGGGCUCCCCCCACCUUCCUAAGGGGCUUGCAUUGUUAUUUAAUCCAAGGGUACGUUUCAGAAUCUUGUGUAGGACUAGGCCUUGGGGCUGCAGGGUAGAUGAGGUGGACAGUCUUUGCUGUCAGGGAGUCAUUGAGGCUAAUGAGAAAGGGGGUGACACUGGGCAGAUAAUCCCACAGAUAGAUAUAACUAUGGACUAUGGCAGGUGCCAUAAGAGGAGUCUAGGAGGGGAUCUGGUGUAGUCUAGGGAGGAUUGAUGUUCAGGCUGAGACUUGAGGACAACUAUAAAUGUUUGAGCAGUGAAAUAAUAAAUGAGAUGUUAUUUCUCACCAUCUAAUCAAGCAUCUGUGCUUUAAUAAAGAGACUGGGCUAAAAGUAAAAUGAAGGACCACCAGUAUCGGCUGCCUUAGAGGGCUGCCUUGGGAGACAGUGAGGGAGUCUAAGGUUGACAUGUUGGUGGCAGGCCCCUAAACUCAGUCCUGAGUGAAAAAUCUUCAGUUUCCACUUCCAGGAAGCAUCACAGACAGGGAUCUGAUGGGAACAGGGGGUGCCCCAGUCAGAACAACAUUUAAUUGAAGGUGGCAUUCUCUGAGGAGGGAGCAGGCUAGCAUUUGAGCAGUGAAAGCAGCGGGGCUUUGUGACAGCAGAAGGCCAUUGUGUUGUCGAGAUCCUUGGAGGUGGGAGAGGUGGAUCAGAGGAGCCAUGGUGGUGAGGAGGGGAAGGCAGGAGAAGGAGUGGGUUAGGGAGGGAGGACAGAGAAAGAUGAUGGACAAAAGCUGGCUCUCGUUGAAGAGAUACAGGAAAUGGGGCCAGAGAUGGGUCGUCACUUGCAUUCAGUCAGCUGGCAGGGCCAGAACCCAGCCUCCUGGCAUCAAGUGGGAAGCUCAGCCCUCAUCCCCCGUAAUGGGUGAAAGGGUCAGCGCUCUGAAAAGAGGGAGGAACCCAGCAGUCUGUCCUCAGCAAGUGAAGGAAGGCGAUUCUGACUAAAACCAGAAGAGUGGUUGAGCUUGGUCUGCCAGGCUUCGAGGGGGAGAAUUUCAUAUCUUGAGAAAAACUGAUUAUCAAGUGGACUCAAGGCAGGGGGAGCAGCUGGCUAUGCAGCAGCUGAAGGCUUCAGGCAAAAGCCCUUGGUCUCCCUUCGGAGUGUCAGGACUCUGAGUAGCGGGUGGUCUUGGGGAACAGUUUAGGACCAAUGAGCCUGGAGAGGUGAGGUUUCAGGGCCCUGUGCCCCUGACUUUGUAACCAUACCUCCCUAAGCCUCAGUUUCCUCACCGGUAAAAUGGAGAUCCUAACAUCCACUGGAGCCUGACUCGGUUAUUUCUUCUCUUCUAUGCCCCCACCCCGACCUGUGGGGCUCAGACCUCUUAGGGAUGCAGGCAGAUCAUCCAACUCUCCCACUCAUUCCUGCUGGGAGCCUUUGUCAGGCCCUGUGCCAAAGCUCUGAGAACCUGAUGCAGAAGAAGACUGCGCUUCUUGAGGAGCUCAGCUCGACAGGAGGGAGGGCACCGAGGCAGGCCCAUAGGCAGAUAAUUACAACGCUGUUUCAUCAGGGCUGGAGUGGAGUUAGGGAGAGACAACAUUUGGGAGGCUGUAUGUCAGCACCUGCCCCAAAAUGACAGUAUCCUAAAAGGGAGAGGAGCACCAAGGCAUAGCUCUUUCCUGAGAGGCCAGAGUCUAACUUUGCAUCCCUGCUUGGUCACCAGCUUGCCCAGGGCUAUCCACAAAUUUUUAUUCUCUUAGAGAGAAAUCACUGCCUGUUCAGCCUCCUCCUCAUGAGGGAACCAGUGCAGGGCUGUGAGAGUGCUCUGUCAGAUACAGGUUGAACAUGAAUCUUCUCCAAAGACUAACCCCUUGAGUGGUUCUGGCCUCUCAUCUCUUUUCCUGGGCAGCUUGUGGAGUCUACACUUGGACGCCUCACCACUUCUUCCAAAGCUGAACUCUGCCAAUCCCCGCCCCACACUGGUAGUGACCGCCCUCUAGGGCAAGGGCAGAGAGCUGAGGCCCUGGGCCUGAUCCCCACCCACUUCCUCUGUGGCCUUGCUCUCCUCUGCCCGCUCUUCUCCAGGCCCAUUUUCCUGUCUGUACACCAAGGAAGGGCUGGACCAGAAAGUCUUUAACGUUUCUAAAGCCAUUUUCUGUGAAAUAUCAGUGAACUUUAUCCUUGUCACUGCAGUCUUAGAGGUACUGGUUGAAAGAAAGUAUGUUAAACAAGGGUUUCAUCAAAGGAUUUUUUGCAUUGAAGAAUAAACUUUACAUCUUGUGGGUGCAGAACAGUCAAGAAUCUUAGCUUAGAGUCAAAGUAGACUUGGGAGGGUCUCUGAGGAAAGAAGACAAGCAUAGCUUUUCAGUGGUUCGCUGUUGCCUGUGGUCCCAGCUCUUUAGCUUGGCCAUCAAGGCCUGCACAACCCUUGAGGCUAGGGGCUUGAUCUUUGUCCCUUGAUGAGACACACUACCUGCCUGACCAAGGCUGGCAUAGAACCUGCUGGUUGGCUGGCCAAGGGGUGGUUGGAUGACUAGAUGGCUAGAUGGCUCAAUCAGUCUCUAGACUCCAUAAGGAAUUAAAUGGCCCAGUCUUUCAGAAGUGAGGGAAUUCAGUUUGUUUCCCAAGUCUCCUCUUGGCAACUCAGAAGUAACAAUAUUUUCCAGCCUCCAGACUAAUAUUUUACACACCGGUAUCGCAGACACUAAUAUGUCACAAAAGGUAUAUGAAAAGAGCCUCGUAAAAGGUUGACAGCUUGGCAUCCUUCCUGUGGCAACAGGGGGCUGUGAGUCACCUCCCCUUACUGGGCCUCAGUUUCCCCAUUUGUAAAAGGAGGCAAUUGGACUACAUAAUCUUUGAGUUCCUUUCUAGCUCUAGCAUCGCCCUCAGAUGCCCUGGUACCUAGAGCAGUAAAUGGACAAGGUGCAUUAGCCCCAGGAUCUGGGUCAAGUCCACAUCUUGGAGCGUGGAGGAAUCGCAGUGAUGGCUGCAGCCCCCUGGAAGAUGAACGUGGCAGGAACUGGCUGAGAGAUUUUUCUGCUGAUGGUGAAAUGUCCUGCCAGAGUCUAUGCAGACGUGGUGUGUACACACCGGAAGUGUUGCUCUCAGUGCACCCUACAGGACUUCCAGUGUAGCUGGUGUGCCGCAGCGUUCCUUGCAGCUGAUGACGGGUGGCGGCUGAUUUGAUUUCCUUGUUUCCUAUUGACUGACUAUUCAAAUGUUUCCAGUGUCGUCCCAUUAAGACAAACCUCUGAUGAUUGCAACAUGAUGGACUGACUAGUUCAUUUUUUCUCCACGGAUCUGAAGUGAAGCUCCCUCGUGUACUGAAUCACGGUGUCUAGGUGCUGUUGGGUGAAAAUGUGAUGCUUGGAGCUCUGACAGCCAUCUUGUGACCAGGAGGGGAAGGCCAGGAGAUGCAGCUCUGUGCUGACUCAGCGUGGACACCUGGCACCAUUGACUUCUGGACUUUCUUUGAAAUAAAUAAAUGUUCUUACUGUUUAAGCCA